GACGUAGGGUGCAAGCGUUGUCCGGAAUUAUUGGGCGUAAAGAGCUCGUAGGCGGCUUGUCACGUCUGCUGUGAAAUCCCGGGGCUCAACCCCGGGCGUGCAGUGGAUACGGGCUGGCUAGAGGCAGGCAGGGGAGAACGGAAUUCCCGGUGUAGCGGUGAAAUGCGCAGAUAUCAGGAAGAACACCUAUGGCGAAGGCAGCUCUCUGGGACGGUACUGACGCUGAGACGCGAAAGCGUGGGGAGCGAACAGG
rnacentral:rRNA from 1 species